GACGAACGCUGGCGGCGUGCUUAACACAUGCAAGUCGAACGGAAAGGCCCUGCUUUUGUGGGGUGCUCGAGUGGCGAACGGGUGAGUAACACGUGAGUAACCUGCCCUUUACUUUGGGAUAACUUCAGGAAACUGGGGCUAAUACCGGAUAGGAGCUCCUGCUGCAUGGUGGGGGCUGGAAAGUUUCGGCGGUUGGGGAUGGACUCGCGGCUUAUCAGCUUGUUGGUGGGGUAGUGGCUUACCAAGGCUUUGACGGGUAGCCGGCCUGAGAGGGUGACCGGCCACAUUGGGACUGAGAUACGGCCCAGACUCCUACGGGAGGCAGCAGUGGGGAAUAUUGCACAAUGGGCGGAAGCCUGAUGCAGCAACGCCGCGUGCGGGAUGACGGCCUUCGGGUUGUAAACCGCUUUCGCCUGUGACGAAGCGUGAGUGACGGUAAUGGGUAAAGAAGCACCGGCUAACUACGUG
rnacentral:rRNA from 1 species